UGUGUGUGUGUGUUUCUCAAACUUCCGCGAACUCUCUUGGAGUCCGUCAGUCAUCAUGUCCAACAACAACGCUAGCAGCAGCAGUGUGGCUGUCGUGCAGAAAGCCGUCAAACAGCUCAGACUAGAGGCCAAAAUACGGCGAAUUAACGUUUCUCAAGCUGCCACAGACCUGAAGAACUUCUGCCUGCAGAACGCCCAUAAAGACCCGCUGCUGGUGGGUGUACCGUCCAGCGACAACCCCUUCCGCCCGCCCAAGUCCUGCGGCCUCCUCUGAACGACUGCUGUCUGAUCACACAUAGAGCUGGUGAAGCGCUUCAGAUGAUGUGGCUGCCUUCAAGUGUCUGUUUCUACCUUUACACUACUCCAUAAAGACCUCCUGGAGCACUACACACACACACAAACACUACUUAGCAUAGCAAAACAAGAAAUAUUUCUGCUGUGUUCAUUUUCUUCAUAUCUGCACAGUUGCUGUCUAUUUGUAUGAACUGUAUUAUGAGUAAUAAUAUGUUGACUAUGCUGAAUUAACACUGUAUGGUACAAUCAACUGUGUAAAAACCCAUAACACAUCCCAUGUUUUGAACACUAUUUUAUUUGUAAUGCGCAUUUUAUAAAACAAAAAGACUUCCUUGAAGAUUGUAUGAAGUGUUUACCCUGGUUUAUGUGGAAGGAAUGAAAGUAUUAAACUAUUAAGAGUAUUUUUUCUAUCAGAAAUUAAAUGACAUUUUUCUACUAUAGUCUUUUACUAAUUUAUGGCCAGCAGGAUUUGGUUUGAAGGUCGUUUGUAAGCAUGCUUUGUGUCCUCAACAGUACACAUGUUGGACGUCUUCCUUUAUCUGACGCUUAUUUGAGGUCUUAGAGUCUCGAUUAAUGAUCUUUGAGUUGAAUCAGGUGUGUCUGAUGAGUUAGACACAAUAUGUGCAGUGUUGAGGAAACCCUGAUCACCUACUGAAUGAACAGUAUCUGCAGGGUCUGGGCUUAUGGCGCACAAACAGGUUGCAAGAUCCCCAACAUCCCAUAAGAGAGCUCAGGACUGCUCCGAGAUGCUGAACUCUGUGAUUCUGCCUCUGUGUCCUGAUGAAAGCACUCAGCUUCUCUCACAGGAUCUUCAGAGAGGAGCGCAGAGACCUCACCAACUCAUUACAGGUGCAGCCGUACCAAAGCAGCACUCUCUGUCUCCAUGUGCCACACCGUCAUCUGAGGGGUCAGAGGUCACGCCAGGAUCCCGUUUGAACAUGGUCAUGACCCCCAACACCCCUGAGCUGUACUCAGCUCUUAAACUGCCCUAUACUACAGGUCAGAACGGCUCCUUCAGUCACCUGAUGAACGCAACUUGCACUGGCCCUUUUAGUUUACACACUUCAGUUUCAUGAGCUGGAAAU